UUGCAUUUGCCCCAUUGCUCACGUUUGCAUUUGGGGUUUUGCAUUUGCAGCAGGGUCUGCAUCCACCCCCUUUGCAUUCUGGGGUUUUGCAUUUGCAGCAGGGUCUGCAUCCACCCCCUUUGCAUUCUGGGGUUCUGCAUUUGCAGCGGGUUUUGCACUCAUCCCGUUGCUCACGUGUGCAUUUUGGGGUUUUGCAUUUGCAGCAGGGUCUGCAUUUGCAUUCGAGGGUUCCCACAUUUGCGUUUUGGGGUUUUGCAUUUGCAGUGGGUUUGCAUUCAGCCCGUUUGCAUUUGGGGGUUCUGCAAUUUGCAUUUAGGGUUUUGCAUCGCCCCGUUGCUCACGUUUGCAUUCGGGGUUUUGCAUUUGCAGCAGGGUUUGCAGUUUUACCUCAUUUGCAUUUGGGGUUUUGCAUUUGCAGCAGGGUUUGCAUUCGCCCCGUUGCUCACGUUUGCAUUUGGGGUUUUGCAUUUGCAGCAGGGUUUGCGUUUGCAUUCGAGGGUUCCCACAUUUGCAUUUGGGGUUUUUGCAUUUGCGUUUUGGGGUUUUGCAUUUGCAGCAGGGUUUGCAUUUUCACCCCAUUUGCAUUUGGGGUUUUUGCAUUUGCAUUUAGGGUUUUGCAUUAGCCCCAUUGCUCACAUUUGCAUUUGGGGUUUUGCAUUUGCAGCAGGGUCUGCAUUCACCCCAUUUGCAUUUUGGGGUUUUGCAUUUAGGGUUUUGCAUUUUGGGGUUUUGUGUCUGGGGUUUUGUGUUUGGGGUUUUGUGUUUGGGGUUUUGCAUUUGCCCCAUUACUCACAUUUGCAUUUGUGGGUUUUUGCAUUUGUGGGGUUUUUGCAUUUGG
rnacentral:lncRNA from 1 species